GAAGCCGGACAUUUAAUCAACUGAGCCACUCAGGCAUCCUGGUCAGUAAACUUUGGCAUCUGAGCAAGGUCCACAUUAAUCUCUGCAGAGUCUCCUACCUGGCCCCAUUUUGAAAGUUUUAGAGGCUUUAUUUCAUCAUUGACCCAACUAGUUACUGCAAGGUCUACAAAGACUAAACAUUAUUCAGCUAUGGUUUGUUUGACUUUAUCAGUAUAUUUAAGAGUUACACUAUGAAAGCACAAUGAGAACCUGUCAGGCUUGUAAUUAUCUGUGGACUAUGCCCCAAACACUUGGUUAUGUGUGGAAACCAUCACUGUUACUUACGUUAUCUUCAGCUCAGGUCUGAUCACAGCAGCAUGGAGAUAUCAAAGAUGUGCCGAGGAUUCUUAGGAAGCACAACAAAAGAGAAUACAUAGCAGCCUCACUAUUGAGAUGGGAUCAUCUUUAGCAACAGGGUUUGGGCACCCCAACAGCCUCUGUUUAUGAAGAUAAUCCCACUCCUUGCUACUCCAGUAUGUCAGUUUGCUACCAUGAAGGAAGAAGCUGUUUUGUGAUAAAGAAUUCAGCACACACAAAGGCAAGCAGAGCAAAAAGAUGAAGAGAGAAACAGCCAGAAGUCUUCUAACCAGACCCGAAGGCCAAGAUUCCAUAAUGUUAAGGAGGGAAAAAACUUAGGGAAUCCUAUCUUACCCACAAAAUGUUUGUGGUUUUGGAACAACUGUUUUUAUGAAAAAUUAGGAAGUGAUAGGAAAAAAAGGUGGAAGGAGUUAUCAAAGUUAAAAGGAUUCAUGAAAAUACUUCAUAUUAUACUUCCCUCUUAGUGACUAAUUCACAACAUGAACCCUGGGCUAAGGCUCUAAAAAGCCCUACUAUAAGGCAAACUAUCUGUUCAAGUCAGCAUUUCUCAAACCUUGAUCAUUAAAAAAAAAAUGGACUAAAAUUUUAAUUAUUAAUUUUGUUGUAAUUAAACUUACACAGUAACACUAUUGUGAUCUCCUAAACACAGUUUGGAAAGAAGAAAUGACAAGGCUAUAUGCUCUACAGGAACCAUUUCAUCAUUAGUCAACGAUUAACUCCCAGUACGCUAGAAAGCAGGGGUUGGCAAACCAUGGGACACGCGCCAGAUCCAGCCCAUUGCCCGUUUCUGGACAUCAAGUGUUCUCAAAACACAGCCAUGCUCAUUCCUUUAUGUUUUGUCUGUGGCUGCUUUCACACUACAAAGGCAGAGGUCGGCCCUGGAGAUGGAGACUGAAUGGCCUGCAAAACCUAAAAUAUUUAUAAUCUACCUAGCCCUUUAUGGAACAGUUUGCCAACUGUUGGCUUAGAAGAUGUUGCAAGAGUGAAAUCAAUCAUCUAUGUUGCCUCGCCCUUUGUUGUUGUCUUUUUACAGUGCUGCCAAGUGUUGCAGCAUCUUUCAAAAAAGUAUAAAAGACCAUCUAGGUUAUCUUUAUAUGAGCUUUCAAUGAACAUGGCCCAGAACUCUUAAUUUUCUGCUCAUAUUAGCAAAGAGAAAAAACUGACAUGAGAAGAUGUCUGACAAUUAUUGAAAGACUGAGAAGAUGAAUGCAAAGAGGCAGCAGCACUUUGGGAUCUACUGUGAUGAUAAAAUUGAUUUUUGAGAUGAGUUUCUUCGAUGAACUUCAUCAAACUCAGGAAACAGAGUAAAUGAUAUAUUUCUAGGAGUGGUGAGAAAGGAAAUAUGGUGUUUUUAUCUAGUCAAUCAUUCAGUAGGAAGAAUGUCAUCAUGCAAUAUUUUGUGACAAGAAUCUAGAUUGCCCUGUUUUGAUCAAAAGAGAUAAGGGCUUUUUAAAUGUUUAUGUUUGUGCACCAAGAUUUACUUAAAAUGAUUUCUAAGCAGACAAAAGGCACUUUGUAACCAAAGGUAAUUGCAGAAUUUUUUAAAUUCACAUUUAUCAUUGUAAUUGAUGUUUAUAAAUCUAAAAAGGAAAAUAUUGUAUCCUUAUGGAGCAGGGAACACCAUAUUCUACCAACAAAACUCUAAGCCAUCCAUGUUUUCAAAAGUAUUUCAUUUGAUGAUUCAAGUACAUGACAAACCAGCAAGAAUCAUAAACUAAAACCCAUAGAGAUGUAAAUAUUUACAUCUGGAAUCAGUAUCGGAUUCUGAUGGUGAAAGUGUAAGAAUAGAAUCAGAGUAAUUAUAGGCAAGAACUGAUUAAAGAUUAAAGAUGUAUCUGAAAUCUGGAAUUAGGAUUUACAGGAUGGAUAUAUCCAGGUCCACACAUGACAGUAGGUUAAGUUAGCUGCCUAUUUCAAGUAUAAAAGGAAAUAGAGAAAAAUUUCAGUUUGCUAUGUUUAAAUUCUUACUGAAUUUUCUAAUACAUUUUUUGUACUAUACCUUUAUUCCUACUUCUAAGAACUCUUCAUAAAAUGACUUCAGAAUAAAAAAUUUAAAAGGAUACACUGGACCCUGAUGAUGGUGAUGACUACUUUCCUGGUUAUAUAGAUUUGUACUGAUAGGUCUUUUACUUCAAGAAUGAUAAUACUUAGUAUUGGCUACAGAAUGGGGCAUAGUUAUAGUCUGUUAUUUAAGACAUACAACUAAUAUUUAGAUUUAAAUAUCUGAUUUCCAGACAAUCUCUAUAGGUCUUUUCUAACUGUAUUAAGGCAGGGACUGACAUACUAAUCUAUAAUUCCCAAAGGAUUCUAAUAUAUUAGAUGACACUAUGACCAAGAACACAACUUUACUUUCCAAGGUCCAGUAAAUCACUAAAUGACAAGAGGGAAGGCUUCGGGGCCUAUUCUCUACACACUUCUCAAGAGGAUUUAAAUGCUCCCCCACAUUUAAUUCAAUAAAUGUUUGUGGAGUA